rnacentral:rRNA from 1 species
GGAAUAUUGGGCAAUGCCCGAAAGGGUGACCCAGCAACGCCGCGUGGAGGAUGACUGUCGUAAGAUUGUAAACUUCUGUUAGAGGGGAAGAAUAUUUCCGAUCGAAUCGGAACUUGACUGUACCCUCAGAGAAAGCCACGGCUCACUACGUGCCAGCAGCCGCGGUAAUACGUAGGGGGCAAGCGUGGUCCGGAUUUACUGGGUGUAAAGGGCGCGCAGGUGGGUUUGCAAGUCAGAGGUGAAAUCUCACGGCUUAACCGUGAAAGUGCCCUUGAUACUGCAAAUCUUGAGUUCGGAAGAGAGAGACGGAAUUCCAGGUGUAGUGGUGAAAUACGUAGAUAUCUGGAAGAACACCAGUUGCGAAGGCGGUCUCUUGGUCCGAUACUGACACUCAGGCGCGAAAGCGUGGGUAGCAAAC